GUUUUGGCAUGGGAGGUGACUGAAAAUUAUACCAGGGCUGACUUGUAGGGCAAUCAGCUCUCUGCUUUGACUGUGAUAUGGAUGGAAUGGGGCCAAGGUCUCCAUGUUUCUUAGUGUUUCUAUUUUAUUUAUCUUCAGCCCUUGUCCUGUGGGUUCUUUAUCCUUAAGGACACAGAUAACAGGCUGCUGAGUCUAACAUGUUUGCUUGAACAGCCUUUUGGCAGUCUUCAACUUAAUUUUCCAGGAAGACCAGAAAACAGCCCACCAGUGAUCUGAACUGAGGUGAUCAUCCAAGCUACAAGACUGUGAGUGUUGGAACAAGCAUACUUGCACACUGGCACAGUGGUCCUGGGGAAAGUGGCACAGACUUCCACUGUAUUCUUUAGACGACCCAGCAAUACCACUCUCUAAUGGUGAGUGUUUCUUUAUCAGAAGACUUAAAUUUUCUUGGGGGGGGAGGGGAGAGGUUUAG
ensembl:lncRNA